CAAUAAAAUGUUCAGCAUUCUGGCUUUAGUUUUCCCAGAAGAGGAAUUUACUUCUACAGGGAGUGAUCUGAAGGGAUCUUUAUUGUCUACUCUGCCCUGGAACUGUAAUUACCUAGUAGGGAAAACAGUGUCCUCUUCGCUCUAAACAUUCUCUCUUGCCCUCUCACCCUCCAGCAGGUUUGAUUUUUGCAGUUGUGAAGGGGUGGCAGGACCACAAUGAUAAAUGGAGACCUGGCUUCUAGAUCCAGCUCUGCUACUAACCAGAAGCAAGUGGGAAUCUUCCACCGGAGCCACAUUCCUGACAUCUCAUCCUCAGAAGAACUUUACUUGCUGGGCCUGACUCCGCUACCUCCACUGCAGUUCCACAGCAGUGGUCAUGGUCACGGAGAAGCAUUUGGCAACCUCUGCAGGUGCAAAGCUCUUCUGCCUGGAAGUUCCUCUGCCUGGAAGCUCCUCUUUAUCUCCUUAGCUCAUCCCAUACUUCACGUCACAGCUUUUACAGGUAACUUCCUCUAACCUGACUUCCCUAGUUCUCUGACUGGAUCAGAUGCCCCAGCAGUGUGCUCUCAAACACCUUGGAUUUUUCUUUUCAUCAUAGCACUUAAUUUCAUUUCUUAGGUGAUAUGCAGUUCCCUCCUCUACCAAGAUCUAGUCUGGUUCACAACCCCUAUGUUUCCACCUACUGUGGCCUGUCUCAGCUUGCAUUAUGUGCUGUACCAGUGAGAACAGUCCCAUCAGCAAAUAAGUUCAGGGAGCACUGUAUUGCCUCUUGGAAGACCACAACACAUACCAGCUCAUCAACAGUUCUGAGAAGUCCUGCAUAAAGAAGUGCAAUUAUCCAAAUCUUUAGUUUAUUUGGCUGUGGGACACUUUCCACAAUAUCUAUCAACAUCUCGAGGAAGAGUUUGGGAAAUAUUGACCCAGAAAUACCAAAGGCAUAAAACUGUGAAUAAGACUCGAUGGGCCAAUCCAUCUUCAAAAGUCCUACUUAUCUAGCACUCUUUUCUCCUAUUACAAGGAAACUGGGUUUUCUCUGCCUGAAUUUCUCCAAAUUACACUUGGGGCAGAGUAAACAAAUACAAAUUACUUUCUCUUCCUGGAACACAAUUGUAAAACAUUCUUCUUCUUUUCUUUUUAGGGCCUCACCCACGGCAUAGGGUGGUUCCCAGGCUAGGGGGCAAAUCAGAGCUACAGCCGCUAGCCUACACCACAGCCAUGCCAGAUCCGAGUCACGUCUGCAACCUACACCACAGCUUACAGCAGCAUAUGAUCCUUAACCCACUGAAUGAGGCCAGGGAUCGAACCUGCAACCUCAUGGGUCCUAAUUGGAUUUGUUUCCUCUGUACCACCACAGGAACUCCCAUACAAUGUUAUUCUGGAAUCAGUCACCAUGGAGACUGUGAAUUUAACCUCUGGUUUUACUGGCUGUUUCUGACUUACCUACCUCCCUACUUCUGCAUGGUUCAUCUAUAUAACUGGCAACUAUUGGUUAGAGAUGAUAAAUUCAUCUUUUCAGAAACUCCAUCAAAGCAUUUUUUAAAAAGAUGUUGGAAUCCUUAACCCCAGUACCUAAUGUGAUCUUAAUUGUAGAUAGUCUAUACACAGGUUAAUAUAGUUAAAUAAAGUUGGG
ensembl:lncRNA